CGUAGGUGGCAAGCGUUGUCCGGAAUUAUUGGGCGUAAAGCGCGCGCAGGCGGCUUCUUAAGUCCAUCUUAAAAGUGCGGGGCUUAACCCCGUGAUGGGAUGGAAACUGAGAGGCUGGAGUAUCGGAGAGGAAAGUGGAAUUCCUAGUGUAGCGGUGAAAUGCGUAGAGAUUAGGAAGAACACCGGUGGCGAAGGCGACUUUCUGGACGACAACUGACGCUGAGGCGCGAAAGCGUGGGGAGCAAACAGGAUUAAGAUAC
rnacentral:rRNA from 1 species